rnacentral:rRNA from 1 species
UACGUAGGGUGCGAGCGUUAAUCGGAAUUACUGGGCGUAAAGCGUGCGCAGGCGGCUUUGCAAGACAGAUGUGAAAUCCCCGGGCUUAACCUGGGAACUGCAUUUGUGACUGCAUGGCUGGAGUGCGGCAGAGGGGGAUGGAAUUCCGCGUGUAGCAGUGAAAUGCGUAGAUAUCAAGAGGAACACCUGCGGCGAAGGCGGGUUGCUGGGCCGACACUGGCGCUGAGGCGCGAAAGCCAGGGGAGCGAACGGG